GCAUCGAUGAAGAACGCAGCGAAAUGCGAUAAGUAAUGUGAAUUGCAGAAUUCAGUGAAUCAUCGAAUCUUUGAACGCACCUUGCGCCUUUUGGUAUUCCGAAAGGCAUGCCUGUUUGAGUGUCAUGAAAUCUCAAUCCCCCCGGGUUUAUGAUCUGGUCGGGACUUGGACAUGGGCGUCUGCCGGUCACACGGCUCGCCUCAAAUGACUUAGUGGAUCUCUCUGCAUCCGUGACAGACGUAAUAAGUUUCGUCUUGUCCCUUGCGUACGAGUCCGCUCAUAACCUGCCAUCGCGCACUUUAGACUCUGACCUCAAAUCAGGUAGGACUACCCGCUGAACUUAAGCAUAUCAAUAAGCGGAGGA
rnacentral:rRNA from 1 species